rnacentral:rRNA from 1 species
UGGGGAAUUUUGCACAAUGGGGGAAACCCUGAUGCAGCGACGCCGCGUGAUUUAGAAGGCCUUCGGGUUGUAAAAAUCUUUUCUAUGGGAAGAAAAUGACAGUACCAUAUGAAUAAGGACCGGCUAAUUACGUGCCAGCAGCCGCGGUAAUACGUAAGGUCCGAGCGUUGUCCGGAAUCAUUGGGGGUAAAGGGUACGUAGGCGUGUAAGAAAGUUAGAAGUGAAAUCCUAUAGCUCAACUAUAGUAAGCUUUUAAAACUGCUCAUCUUGAGGUAUGGAAGGGAAAGUAGAAUUCCUAGUGUAGCGGUGAAAUGCGCAGAUAUUAGGAGGAAUACCGGUGGCGAAGGCGACUUUCUGGCCAUAACCUGACGCUGAGGUACGAAAGCGUGGGUAGCAAACAGG